rnacentral:rRNA from 1 species
CUGAUAAAUUUAUUGAAGGGCUGCAGUAUUUUGACUGUACAAAGGUAGCAUAAUCAUUAGUCUCUUAAUUGGUGACUUGUAUGAAAGAUUGGAUGAGAUAUAUACUGUCUCUAAUAUAUAUAAAGAAUUUAAUUUUUUAAUUAAAAAGUUAAAAUAAUUUUAAAAGACGAGAAGACCCUAUAGAGUUUAAUAUUUAAAUUUAUUGAAUUUAUAUUUUAGUUUAAUAAUUAAAAUAAUUUAAAAUAUUUUAUUGGGGUGAUAAAAAAAUAAAAUUAACUUUUUUAUUUCUUAAUUCAUAGAUAAAUGAAUAAAUGAUCCAAAAUUUUUGAUUAUAAGAAAAAAUUACCUUAGGGAUAACAGCGUAAUUUUUUUUUUUAGUUCAUAUAAAAAAAAAAGUUUGCGACCUCGAUGUUGGAUUAAAAUAAAAUUUAUAUGCAAAAGUAUAAAAUUUUGAUC